rnacentral:rRNA from 1 species
GACAGAGGUGCCGAGCGUUAGGCGGAAUCACUGGGCUUACAGCGUGUGUAGGCGGGCCGUUAAGCGUCUUGUGAAAUCCCCCGGCUCAACCGGGGAAUUGCUGGGCAUACUGGCGGUCUUGAGCAAUCUAGGGGCAGAUGGAACAAGUGGUGGAGCGGUGAAAUGCGUAGAUAUCACUUGGAACGCCAAAGGUGAAGACAGUCUGCUGGGGAUUUGCUGACGCUGAGACACGAAAGCCAGGGGAGCGAACGGG